rnacentral:rRNA from 1 species
AUUGAACGCUGGCGGCAGGCCUAACACAUGCAAGUCGAGCGAGGGGGGGGCGGGAGUAAAGUGUAGGGGAAUCUGCCUGGGGGGGGGGGAUAACUACUAGAAACGAUAGAUAAUCCCGCAUAAUCUCAGAUGACCCCAUAGGGGAUUAGCUUGUAGGUGAGGUAACGGCUCACCUAGGAGACGAUCCCUAGCUGGUCUGAGAGGAUGACCAGCCACACUGGGACUGAGACACGGCCCAGACUCCUACGGGAGGCAGCAGUGGGGAAUAUUGCACAAUGGGCGCAAGCCUGAUGCAGCCAUGCCGCGUGUAUGAAGAAGGCCUUCGGGUUGUAAAGUACUUUCAGUCGGGAGGCGUUACCGACAGAAGAAGCACCGGCUAACUCCGUGCCAGCAGCCGCGGUAAUUC